rnacentral:lncRNA from 1 species
UUUCCUUUCUGUUAAUCUGCUAUUGCAAUAUGGCUUUCAAAAGGAAGAUAUCAUUACUUAUCCCAACCCUGUUCGCCAUUUUCCUUUUCCUCUCCUCAGAUGUGGCAGCAAGGGAAUUGAAAGAGAGUGAGCUAUCUAUCCUUUUACGUACCUUCUUUUUUCAUUUGCAACUUUAAAGUAAGAGAUAAAGUAUAAAAUGUUAUCAAUAUGAUUUCUUUUAUCGUUCAAAUUUUAUAAACAACUACACAAAUUUUGCAAAGCAAACUACUACCUAUAUAUGCAUAUAAAAAAGUGUUCAAAUCAUAAAUUAAAUUAAGAGAGUUAAACUCCAAAUCAAUUUACCAGGUUUUUGUAAAGAUAAUUUUUUUAAUAGAUUUUUAACACACACACACAAAAACACACACACACACAUAUAUAUAUAUAUAUACAUAAAACAAAAUGACCAUUUGAAAGAGAUAAUUGGGUAGAAAAACACAUAUGUGUGCCUUUCUUAAUGUAUUUUUAUGUAAUAUCAUUAAAACAUUUUUCAAUAUACAAUAUGUUUACCAUAAAGGGUUUCUUAAUCUUUUUCAUUCGGUCAUAAGGAACUCUCCUUCUAACCUUUUUAUGUUUUAUAAAUAAUCAUGGUGGUGGCUUCCCAGUUUCUGGUCGCGAUCGUCGUGCGUUCUCUGGCGAUGGUGGCUUCUUGGGUGGUUCCUACGGUGGUGGUGGAUACUUUGGCCCCUACCGUGGUGGACCUGGACCUUUCGGUGGACCUUUCGGUGGACCUGGACCUUUCGGUGGACCUUUCGGUGGACCUGGACCUUUCGGUGGACCCUAUGGUGGUGGGUACGGUUUCCCCUACUAUGGAAGAUUUGGUUCCGGUGGAUUCGGUUCUGGUGAAUUUGGACCUGGUGGUGGAUUCAAUAACUUUCCUGGUGGUCGUGGUGGUAGUGGUGUUGGAUUCGGCAACUUUCCUGGUGUAGCCGGUGGGUUACCUAACAAUC